GACGAACGCUGGCGGCGUGCUUAAUACAUGCAAGUCGAACGGAAAGGCCCUGCUUUUGUGGGUUGCUCGAGUGGCGAACGGGUGUGUAACACGCGUGUAACCUGUCCCUGACUUUCGGGUAACUCCAGGAAACUGGGGCGCAUACCGGAUAUGAUCUCUUGAUGCAUGGUGGGGGUUGGUAAGUUUCGGCGGUUCGGGCUGUUAUAGCUGCUUAUCCGCUUGUUUGGCGGGUAGUGGCUUACCAAGGCUUUGACGGGUAGCCGGCCUGAGAGGUGGACCGGCGACAAGGCGACUGAGAGACGGCCCAGAAUCCUACGGGAGGCAGCAGUGGGAAAUAUUGCACAAUGGGCGGAAGCCAGAUGCAGAAACGCCGCGUGCGGGAUACCGGCCUUCGGGUGGUAAACCGAUUUCGCCUGUGACGAAGCGUGAGUGACGGUAAUGGGUAAGAAAGCACCGGCUAACUACGUG
rnacentral:rRNA from 1 species